GCAGGAGCCCGGGACGCCCCAGAUCCGCCUGGACGUAGCUCUGCGUCUGCGCAAACCCAGAGUCCCAGGCGUCUUUCCGGAAGAUUGAUGAGGACCUUUCGCACCUCAAUUCAUCUUCAAAGAGAGACAUAAACCUCAGGUAGAUCAAGUACAUGCAGACCCUCUGGUGGUGCAACUUCAAAUCAUCUAUUACUCAUAAGAACUACUACACUCCAGCUGCAGGAAUUGGUACAUCAGGACCGAUGUCAGUGUGAGUGGUUCUGUUGCGGUUUCACCACGGAAGGAUUACUUGAGAAUUGUUUGCUUUGGGUCCAGUUUCAAAGCUGGGGUUUAAAGGUAAGUUUAUCAGGAACCUUACUUUUGUGUGUGUGUGUGUAUGUGUGUCUUUCUGCCUUUUCUAGGGCGGCUCCCGCGGCAAAUGGAGGUUCCCAGGCUAGGGGUCUAAUUGGAGCUAUGGCCACUGGCCUACGCCAGAGCCACAGUAACACAGGAUCCUAGCCGCGUCUGCAACUUACACCACAGCUCACGGCAACGCCGGAUCCUUAACCCACUGAGCAAGGCCAGGGAUUGAACCUGCAACCUCAUGGUUCCUAGUCAAAUUCAUUAACCACUGAGCCACGAUGGGAACUCCAGGAACUUUACUUUUACUUCCAGCAAAGAUGUUUCUUGAAAACCUGGCAAGUUGGAGCAAAUCACUCAGUGUGACAUCCAUGCUCCUAGCCUACAACACAGGAAAAUACUAGGGUAAAAAAGGAACAUGAAGAGCAACUGAAAUGGGGGAGGGGCAGGCAGAGAAGGGGACAGAAGGCAAAGGUGGACACUAUCCCUUAAAAGGUUCUGAGGCUCUUGUUUAGGGUAGGCAUGAGUUUUUGUGUUUGUUGUGGUGCGAUGAGGGGUAUAGUCCUUCAGACCUUCUCUUGGGUUGGCAGAGAUGACCUCCACUGGGGUAGAGAAUUCUAUGAGUCAGGGUCUCACGUGUAUUGAGAUGGUGUAAAGUGAUGGUGUUUGUGAUUCCAGGAGCAAUCAUUUCGCAUGCAAUACGUGUGUGAGCACUGCUGGGAGAGUAUAUUCCUUUCUCAGGAUAGAUAGUGCCCAUGGCACUCAAAGAAACUUGAGAGUUCUUGGGUGACUAGGAGAGACCCCCACCCAGGAAAAUUGCCAGGCUCUGGGAAAUCCCAGAAAGAGGACUUGGGGGGGGGGGUCCGUCUCCCCUCCUGGACCCUUUAAACCACAACAUGAACACAGUCACUCCACAUUCAAUGACUUGCGUCCAAAUCAUAGGAGCCAUUCUGAUUCAUGUGUGAACUUCCCAUUGAAUGCAACGCAGUAAUAAAACCAAGUUACUCACUGAAAGGCUCUUGGUUCAGAGAGCAUAUGCUGGCAUGUACAAACGCUGUCAUUAGAAAAAAAAAUUACCCUGAUUGGUAGAGAGAACAAAGAGGCUUCUGGAAAGCUUGUAAUGUUCUGUUUCUUGUUCUGGCUGCUGGUGAAGAAUGUGUAUAAAAAUGAAUAGAGAUGUACACCUAUGAAUUUUGUACUUCUUUUCAGGAUGUAUUUUAUGAUGUGACAUAAAGGGUUUUUUUUUUUGGUUUUGUUUUUUUGUUUCUUUUGUUUGUUUGUUUGUUUUUAGGGCUACACCAGCAGCAUAUGGAAAUUCCCAUGCUAGGGGUCAAAUCAGAGCUGCAGCUACCACCCUGCAUCCAACAGCCACAUCUGAGCCAAGAUCUGAGCCACAUCUGAGCCAAGUCUGUGUCCUACACCACAGUUCACAGCAACACUGGAUCCUUAACCCACUGAGCAAGGCCAGAGAUUGAACCCAAACCCUCAUGGAUCCUAGUCUGGUUCGUUUCCGCUGAGCCACGGUGGGAACUCCCACUAAGAACUUUAAUGAAAAAACGAACCCUAGUGAGCGACAGCUUUCUGUGUGAUGAGGGUGGGCAUGCUUACUCUUCCCUUUACAAGUGCUGUUCCAAAGCUGUGGAAAUAAGCCCAAGUAUGUUUGACCCGGCUUCUCUUUUUUCUAGUUUUUUUAUUUGUUUGUUUGCUUAUGUUUUUAAGGGCUAUACCCACAACAUAUGGAAGUUCCCAGGCUAGGGGUCUGCUAGGAGCUGCAGCUUCUCACCUACCCUACAGCUACAGCAAUGCCAGAUCCAAGCCAUGUCUGCAACCUGAACCACAGCUCAUGGCAACACCAGAUCCAUAACCAACUGAUCAAGGCCCGGGGAUUGAAACUCCAUCCUCAGGGAUACUAGUUGGGUUGGUUACCACUGAGCCACAAUGGGAACUCUGAUACAAAGUAUUUAAAAAAAUAUCUGAACUGACUAAACACUGCUUCCUUUCAAGACACGUAUGGGGGUGGCUAGAUA
rnacentral:lncRNA from 9 species